rnacentral:rRNA from 1 species
GGGUUGUGAGGUUAAGCGACUAAGCGUACACGGUGGAUGCCCUGGCAGUCAGAGGCGAUGAAGGACGUGCUAAUCUGCGAUAAGCGUCGGUGAGGUGAUAUGAACCGUUAUAACCGGC